UACGUAGGGGGCAAGCGUUGUCCGGAUUUAUUGGGCGUAAAGAGCGUGUAGGCGGUUUGGUAGGUCCGUUGUGAAAACUCGAGGCUCAACCUCGAGACGCCGAUGGAAACCAUCAGACUAGAGUCCGGAAGAGGAGAGUGGAAUUCCUGGUGUAGCGGUGAAAUGCGCAGAUAUCAGGAAGAACACCCGUGGCUAAGGCGGCUCUCUAGUAGCGGUACUGACGCUGAGACGCGAAAGCGUGGGGAGCGAACAGG
rnacentral:rRNA from 1 species